UGGGGAAUAUUGGACAAUGGGGGCAACCCUGAUCCAGCAAUGCCGCGUGUGUGAAGAAGGUUUUCGGAUUGUAAAGCACUUUCGGCGGGGACGAUGAUGACGGUACCCGCAGAAGAAGGCCCCGGCUAACUUCGUGCCAGCAGCCGCGGUAAUACGAAGGGGGCUAGCGUUGCUCGGAAUGACUGGGCGUAAAGGGCGUGUAGGCGGUUUGUACAGUCAGAUGUGAAAUCCCCGGGCUUAACCUGGGAGCUGCAUUUGAUACGUGCAGACUAGAGUGUGAGAGAGGGUUGUGGAAUUCCCAGUGUAGAGGUGAAAUUCGUAGAUAUUGGGAAGAACACCGGUGGCGAAGGCGGCAACCUGGCUCAUGACUGACGCUGAGGCGCGAAAGCGUGGGGAGCAAACAGGAUUAGAUACCCUGGUAGUCCACGCUGUAAACGAUGUGUGCUGGAUGUUGGGCCAACUUAGUUGUUCAGUGUCGUAGCUAACGCGAUAAGCACACCGCCUGGGGAGUACGGCCGCAAGGUUGAAACUCUAAAGUGAAUUGAC
rnacentral:rRNA from 1 species